UCUUAGCUCAGUGGUAGAGUCCUUGCCCUGCACGCAGAAGGACCCUGGUUCAAUCCCCAGUGCCUGAAAAC